rnacentral:rRNA from 1 species
GACGAACGCUGGCGGCGUGCUUAACACAUGCAAGUCGAGCGGUAAGGCCCUUUCGGGGGUACACGAGCGGCGAACGGGUGAGUAACACGUGGGUGACCUGCCCUCAGCUCUGGGAUAAGCCUGGGAAACCGGGUCUAAUACUGGAUAUGACUCCAUGACGCAUGUUGUGGGGUGGAAAGCCUUGUGCGGCUGAGGAUGGGCCCGCGGCCUAUCAGCUUGUUGGUGGGGUGANGGCCUACCAAGGCGACGACGGGUAGCCGGCCUGAGAGGGCGACCGGCCACACUGGGACUGAGACACGGCCCAGACUCCUACGGGAGGCAGCAGUGGGGAAUCUUGCGCAAUGGGCGAAAGCCUGACGCAGCGACGCCGCGUGAGGGAUGACGGCCUCGG